rnacentral:rRNA from 1 species
AUGAUAGGCAAAUACUAAUGGAGCCAACAGGAAAAUGAAAACAAAAUGCAUUGGGUGAGCUGGCAGACACUAACAAGAUCAAGGGGUAGAGGAGGGCUAGGAUUCAGAGAUAUACACGAUUUUAACGUUGCCAUGCUAGCAAGGCAGGUGUGGCGACUGAUACAGCAACCGGAUAGCCUCUGUGCACAAGUCAUGAAGGCCAAGUACUACCCGGAUUGUGAUGUAUUGGAAGCGGCGUCGAGUGCCAAUAUGUCAUAUGCAUGGAGGAGUAUUACUCAUGGCGUUGACCUCAUCAAAAAAGGAGUAAUUUGGCGGGUUGGAGAUGGUCAGAACAUCCAGAUUUGGGAUGACCUAUGGCUACCUAGAGCGUGGUCCAGGAAAGUGUUGACACCAUGAGGGAACAACUUAUUAACUAGGGUGUCUGAUCUCAUCGACCCGUGGACUGGGAAAUGGGACGAGGUACUUAUCAGGGACACGUUUUGGGAGGAGGAUGCCGCCUUGAUCCUUCAGCUACUAUUAAGGGAUGACACCGAAGAUUUCCGAGCAUGGCAUUUUGAUAGCAAGGGUGUGUUCUCGGUUAAACAAGCCUACAAACUACAAUGGGUUUUAUCAGAACACUCUGCUGUGGGGCAAGCUGGGGAGCCACAGGUUGUUGGUGAUCUCGAUGGUGGCGGUGACGUGAGGUGGAAAAGGAUAUGGAAGCUGCCGUGCCCGGGGAAGAUCAGACAUUUUAUAUGGAGAAUGAUGCAUAACACCAUCGCUACAAAAGAUAUCCUAGCAAGAAGAGGGAUGCGCAUUGAUGAUCACAAGUGCUUCAUGUGUAAGAGGCGGCACGAGACAGGGAAGCAUCUCUUUGUGGAUUGUCCUGAGGUGAAAGUGGUAUGGAGGAAACUAGGGCUUGAACAUAUCCGAGUGCAACUAGCAGACUGCGUUGCGAUAGGAGAGACCAUGGACAUCAUCUGGCCGGCCACGGAGAAGGAGAGGCUGUAG